UAUACCCAAGCGAGUUAGAGAAAACGCCACACUUUGAGAUGAAUUAAGAGUCCAUUAUUGGCCAGGCGCGGUGGCUCAAGCCUGUAAUCCCAGCACUUUGGGAGGCCGAGGCGGGCGGAUCACAAGGUCAGGAGAUCGAGACCAUCCUGGCUAACACGGUGAAACCCCGUCUCUACUAAAAAUAUAAAAAAUUAGCUGGGCGUGGUGGCGGGUGCCUGUAGUCCCAGCUACUCGGGAGGUUGAGGCAGGAGAAUGGCAUGAACCUGGGAGGCGGAGCUUACAGUGAGCUGAGAUCGCGCCACUGCACUCCAGCCUGGGCGACAGAGCAAGACUCCAUCUCAAAAAAAAAAAAAAAAAAAAAAAAAAAAAAAGAAUCCUUUAUUUAAGCCAGCGGCCAAAGAGAUAGCUAACGCUCAAAAUUCUCUCGGCCCCGAGGAAGGGGCUUGAUUAACUUUUACACCUUGGUUUAGGAAGGGGAGGGGAACUCAAAUGCAAUAAUUCUACAGAAGUAAAAACAUGCAAGAAUCAAAAAAACAAAUGGUUAUAGAGAGAGAAACAAUUUAAAAGACAAAUGGUUACCAAAAAAGCAACGGAACCAGGUGCGGGGCUCUAAGUCCUUCAUUAGAGUUUGAUGUGGAUGCUCUGCCAGACACGGACUCGAGGCUUUAUGCUGUUAUCUCUUUGAGCAAAACCCUGGGAACUUCAUACACUGUUUGUUCCAGUACCUUAUCGGUUAAUUGGGCUCCUUUGAAAUGCUGAGGAUCUGCUUACAUGGGUUAAUGCCUUGAGGAAGGGGGUUGGGUAAGGAGCCCUUGAUGUCUUGUUAAUCAAGAGGCCAAAUGGAGUUUGUCCGGCUUUCCCAGCUAAGGGAGAGUCUUACUCAUAUGGGAAACAAGGCUGGGUAAUUAAGGAGACAAAAGGGAAAAUUUAAAAAUAACGAGUUAGAGUAAAAACAAGGUUAGGCAUUACAACAGUAAGUUAUAUUAAGACAAUAUUUUGGCCGGGCGUGGUGGCUCACGCCUGUAAUACCUAGCACUUUGGGAGGCCCAGGCGGGCAGAUCAUGAGGUCAGGAGAUCAAGACCGUCCUGGCUAACACUGUGAAACACCAUCUCUGCUAAAAAUACAAAAAAUUAGCUGGGCGUGGCGGGGGGCGCCUGUAGUCCCAGCUGCUCGGGAGGCUGAGGCAGGAGAAUGGCGUGAACCUGGGAGGCGGAGCUUGCAGUGAGCCGAGAUAGCGCCACUGCACUCCAGCCUGGGCAACAGAGCAAGACUCCACCUCAAAAAAAAAGACAUAAUAUUUUUAAUGUUUUUUAAUAGCUUAUAUUCUGUACAUCUUUUCACAUGUAGAAAUGUUAAUGGCUGGGCGCAGUGGCUCACGCUUGUAAUCCCAGCACUUUGGGAGGCUGAGGCAGGAGAAUCACUUGAGCCCAGGAGUUGGAGACCAGCCUGGGAAACAUGGCAAAUAAAAACCGCAGUUUAAACUCUGAGUUUCAAUCAGAAACUAACAGCUCUUGGAUUUCCCGGGGCUCACACUCCUCUGAAACAACUCACGAAGAGCCUGAGGAAGCAGUUCUCACUGGAAAAUGCAAGAAAGUAUGUUCCGGUGAAGACCCUCAGCUCUGUUCAUUUUCAUGAUGCAAAUGCCCACAAAGGUGGUUUUGACCUGACUGACCCUGUGCGAGGAGGCACAGUCUCCUCACCAGCAUAAGCACGUGGCAUCAGAUGCGGAGACAGUUUUGGACGUGGAUGGAUGUUUACACACUGAGACUCCUUCAGUGUCCCUUCAAGAAAAUGUGGACACAGUGUCUCUGAAGCCUGUUAGUGACCACAGAAUUAAUUUCACUAAUACCUUUCGGUCACCGACUCCUGAAAAGAGAACAUGUGAAUAUCAUGAGUCCGUUGAAAAAAGACAAAAUGAAUCUCACACAGAAUGUGGUCUAUGAAAAUGAAGAGGGCAGAGGGGUCAUGGACCUUGCCUGUCACACAUCUUUUACGGGCAAACAAAAUGUGAUGAGAUGACUGAAGACUUGAGAUCCGGUUAGUGAUACCACCAAUGAGAUGAGCACCACAGUUAUUCAAGCCAGCCCAGCCCUGUCCGAGGAAUAGGCUGUGGAAAAAUUGAGAGAAUUUCCAUUUCAGAAUAUAGGAAAAGGAACAUAAAGGAACAUUACCAUCUAUGAUCCCAAACGACUCUGAUAUGAAAAAAUGACUGCAACUACUUCUCUGAGUAGCAAGCCUAAAGAUGUAAAACCUAACCUUAGAUCAAGUGAAGAUCCUUCCUCCAAAAGUGGAGAUCUGUUGGAACCCAGUGAGGUGGAUUGGACGUCAAACCUCAAGAAAGUGGACCCGAUCGGGCUGGCUCUCCUGAGCAAGCCAGGUCUGAGUCGUCAGACGGGGUCAGCUGCUCACACCUCCCUGUGUCCUGCCAGGAGACUGUAGAUGAUGAUCAAAGAAUCAUCACUAAAGCUACGUCAACUGCAAGUUGUGAGCUCAGAGGCCGGGACCUGUUCCCAGCGGAACCAUUCAUGGCUCUGCAGCUGAGACGCAGAACAUGGGGCUGCGGUGCCUGCACUCUUGAUGUCACCCCUCCCAGCACAGCUUCCUUCAGCCAGAGGUAUUGAAGAACACUCCCUUCAGCUGGAAGUGUCGCCCUGCCUCAGUGCCAGGCUGGCAGGGCCAUAGCCUGUGGCUUCUCAGGAGGCCAUCCCUAUCCAGCUGUCACGGGAGAGCAUGUGCAGAACUCUGUGGCUGUGGAAUUUGGGACCAAAUACCAGCUCUGGAUGGAUGGGCACCUCUUCCAUCUGCGACCCAUAUUCUGAUGUCUCACAUCGGAACCUGCCAAGCACAGCGAAGCCUUUUCCUGUGCAUUCUAUUGGUACAAACUGGAAAGAAACCACGAGAUUCAGGAAUGACAUCAGUACUGGAAACAGAACAGAAAGCCAUUCUUGAUUUUGGUGACUGGAGUUGUGGAGGCUGGAAGUCUCUGCCAAUAAAAGCACUGAACCGGACACACACCACUUACCAAUCAAGUUGAUUCUCAAUGUUAGCACCGUGGCCUGGCAAGAUCGGACGUUUUCCGAGGAACCCGGCUGAGCUCCUGUGAGAGCUGCUCCCUGCACUGAUGUGGUCCCUUGGCUGGCAGGCUGCUCUGUGAUCAACCAGGUGACACCUGCCUGUUAUGAGGGACAGGUAGGAGAGGAUGGGCUUUCCAUCAAAACAAACAAACAAACAAAAAGUCCCAAGAAGGAACUCGGCUCUUCAGAGAUUCAGGACUCAGGAGAAGACUUCGUGGUGACAGUUGACGUAGAAGUUGACAGCCCAAACCCCACACCAGUUCUUAGAAGUAUUGAUCUCCAAGAAAGAGCAGAAAGAGCUACAACUCCUGCUCCCAGGGACUUACAGGUCCCAGAAUGAGAAAGUCCCUCUUUAGUGGAUCCAGAGAAUCUAUUCAUUAAACCUGGAGAAGAACAUGAGGUUAUAGUUUCUUUUUCUCCAAGGGAUCCCAAAGUUUGGGAGGAAAGGAUCUAAAAAAUGUUUGUGCAGCCAUCUGGACCUCAGUAUGAAGUGGUGUUAAAAGGUGAAGUCCAUUCUUCAGGAAGUAAACCUCUGCCACGUGGAUCAUGCUCAGACAUCCUAUUGAAGUUUGUCCAACAAUUUCUUGCUUUGGAAGGUGUCCCUCUUGGUGGAACACAGUUUCACCUUUUGCUGGAACUCAGAGCUACAAAUGAUGCUUAAUGUACCAACGCCUUCUGACUGAGCUCCUCUCUGCCCUGAAUACAAGAGACCCUAAUAGUUAUGUGGAAAUAUCAUCGCCCCGUUCAGCAUGAAGAAGUUACAAAAGACGGACCUUCAUCCUUCUGCAACCCUUAGGAUUAAGGGUCCUCUUGUAAAAGGGAGGGGAAAUAUGUAAGAAGCAUUCAAACCAGAGCGACUCCAUUUUGAACAAGGGCUAAGAAAAAUGAAGCUGGGUCCUGUUGGGCUGCAUGCCCAGGAGGUUAAGCAUUCUUAGCCUCAAGAUGUUUACAAUUGAGGGAACAGAUUAAUAAUGUUUCCUAAACAGACUCAGGACUUAACAGACUCAGGAACGUCUUGAUACUUUGAGAACAAAAGCACUUCUAGUUUUAAAUACGCAUUGUACCUAGGAUGGAUGCUUUUCUUACUUUUGGAAAUGCCCUACCCUGUCUAUGGAGUCACUAUUCAUUCCCUCCUUUAUUAAAGUUGCUUCUAUUUUGC